rnacentral:rRNA from 1 species
UACGUAGGGUGCAAGCGUUGUCCGGAAUUAUUGGGCGUAAAGAGCUCGUAGGCGGUUCGUCGCGUCGGCUGUGAAAACCCGGAGCUCAACUCCGGGCCUGCAGUCGAUACGGGCGGACUUGAGCGUUGCAGGGGAGAGUGGAAUUCCUGGUGUAGCGGUGAAAUGCGCAGAUAUCAGGAAGAACACCCGUGGCGAAAGCGGCUCUCUGGAACGGUACUGACGCUGAGACGCGAAAGCGUGGGGAGCGAACAGG